rnacentral:piRNA from 1 species
UGCUCCUUCUCAGAUUUAGGAGGUACCUUGUU